CCGCGUUCUGUUUUACAAUUUCCAAACGCCCGGACGACAACUUUUCAUCGUGCUCGAGUCUCCGACGAGAAACGUCUCGCAUGCGCAGAACGACUAGAAUAAUGUAAUAAAGCGUGAUGAUGAAAUAUAUGUAGAAGUGUGUUGUAGGUUAAAUUAGGUCAACUUGUUGGAUACAACCUAACCUAACGCAAAAAUAUUUCAGAAUUGUUCCGUUUCACGAAUCAAUCUCGGUAUGUGACACUUCGUCUGGAUGAACACUCCGGUAUACAGAACGCACCCCAGUAGUUGAUUAAGAAACCAUGUAUAAGGGAAGCAAGGGAGCGUUUACCUCGGAUCUAUAAAUCAUAUGGACAAAUCAUAAUUAAUUAUUCUC